UACGUAGGGGGCAAGCGUUGUCCGGAUUUAUUGGGCGUAAAGAGCGUGUAGGCGGUUUGGUAGGUCCGUUGUGAAAACUCGAGGCUCAACCUCGAGACGCCGAUGGAAACCAUCAGACUAGAGUCCGGAAGAGGAGAGUGGAAUUCCUGGUGUAGCGGUGAAAUGCGCAGAUAUCAGGAGGAACACCGGUGGCGAAGGCGGAUCUCUGGGCCGUAACUGACGCUGAGGAGCGAAAGCAUGGGUAGCGAACAGG
rnacentral:rRNA from 1 species